CAGCCGCCGCGGUAAUACGUAGGGUGCGAGCGUUAAUCGGAAUUACUGGGCGUAAAGCGUGCGCAGGCGGUUCGUUAAGACAGAUGUGAAAUCCCCGGGCUUAACCUGGGAACUGCAUUUGUGACUGACGGGCUAGAGUAUGGCAGAGGGGGGUAGAAUUCCACGUGUAGCAGUGAAAUGCGUAGAGAUGUGGAGGAAUACCGAUGGCGAAGGCAGCCCCCUGGGCCAAUACUGACGCUCAUGCACAAAAGCGUGGGGAGCAAACAGGAUUAGAUACCCCAGUAGUCCCUGUCUCUUAUAC
rnacentral:rRNA from 1 species